UUGGUUGAUCCUGUCAGUAGUCAUAUGCUUGUCUCAAAGAUUAAGCCAUGCAUGUGUAAGUAUGAAUUAAUUGAGACUGUGAAACUGUGAAUGGCUCAUUAAAUCAGUUAUAGUUUGUUUGAUGGUAGUUGCUACUCGGAUAACCAUAGUAUUUCUAGAUCUAAUGCGUGCAACAAAACUCAACUUCUAGAAGGGAUGCAUUUAUUAAAUAAAAGGUCGACGUGGGCUCACCCGUUGCUACGAUGAUUCAUGAUAACUCGAUGGAUCGCAUGGCCCUCGUGUUGGAGACGCAUCAUUCAAAUUUUUGCCAUAUCAACUUUCGAUGGUGGGAUAGUGGCCUACUAUGGUAGUGACAGGUGAUAGAGAAUUAGGGUUUGAUUUCAGAGAUUGUCCCUUUUGUUGACGAUGCGCUUCUGGCCUUAACUAGUUGGGUCGUGCCUCCGGUGCUAUUACUUUGAAGAAAUUAGAGUACUCAAAGUAAGCCUAUGCUCUGGAUACUUUAGCAUUGGAUAACAUUAUAGGAUUUCGGUCCUAUUACGUUGGCCUUCGGGAUCGAAGUAAUGAUUAACAGGUAAAAUUGGAGACAAUCCUAUUUCAUAGUCAGUGAUGAAAUUCUUGGGUUUAUGAAAGAUGAACAACUGCAAAAGCAUUUUCCAAGGAUGUUUUCAUUAAUCAAAAAUGAAAGUUGGGGGCUCGAAGAUGAUCAGAUAUGGUCCUAAUCUCAACCAUAAACGAUGUCGACUAGGGAUCGACGGAUGUUGCUUAUAGGACUCCGCUGGCACCUUAUGAGAAAUCAAAGUUUUUGGGUU
rnacentral:rRNA from 1 species